rnacentral:tRNA from 1 species
AGUUUUAUAUUUUAAUAAAAAAGUUAGAUUGCAAAUCUAAAAUUGGCUUAAGUCCUAAGACUU